GUCUGUGUCUUCCUCUGUUCUGUGUUAGAUUGUUGUUGUAUGUGUGUUAAGCUUCCCGACCCUAGUGGUCUGGGUGUCUUGGAUUUAUACUCUGUUAAUGGACUUUUGCAUUUUGAUGGCUCCAUUUGGACUUGUUUGCCUCCUUUUGACUGCUUACCUGGUUGUGACCACUACCUACCUGUAACCCAAGUCUGGAGAAAACGUCAUCAAAAAACAAGACACACAGUUCUUAAUCAGUAUUCAUUUGGCUGAUUUUUGAAACCACCCAUCUGGACAGCACCUCUGUGACUGCACUAACCGAGGACUGCGUGAGACUCUGAUAGUCCCACCUCAGUUGACCUGCUCGGACAGUGCCUGAUGCACUGGUGGCUACCACUUGCACCACCGGCCACUCACCAAACAUUUCAGGACUGCUGGGGGAGGAAGUAGAGGAAAUCAUAGUGUAGAAAGGGUUCAUCCUCUACUAAGCAUGGAUAUGCUCAGUGAGGUUCAUUACAACCUGACAUUACAUUUUGAUAAAAUAAAAUAAAAUAAAUUGGCCUUGUGGAGUAAACAUAAUAUUAAUGCCCUCUGAACAAAUCCUAUCUAUACAAAUUUUAGGGCAAUGGACAGUAGCAAUCAAAAUCUCCCUCUGUUUGAAACACAUAACAAUUGACAGAUUUACAGACCCCCAGUACAAUCAAAACCUCUGACACACAAACUAAACAAAAAUUGGACAUUAAAAGCUGUUUAGUGCAAGGCGGUUGUAUUACACUAGAAUGUAAGUAUGUAUGUUCAGUGUGAAGACUAGCAAUGCAGUGAAAUAGUGGACUGUUCAGCUCAAGACAAGUGUCUUAUUGAACAACUUCUGAAGAGCAGCACCGGUUCAUCAGGGAUGCAGACAGAACAAGUAAAGCAGAGAUCCAGUCUCCACUGGAGAGGCUGCUCCAUUAUUAAAGUAUCACUCACUUAGAUUACAGCUGUGAUGACAUCUGAUCAUUAAUCACCAGCAACAGAGGCCUGCUGCCUUGAAAGUCUAAGAGUUAACACAGAGCAGUCCAGACGAAUACAGCAAUCCUGCAGCCAAUUCAGCUAGGCGAGGAACAGAGAGGGAAAUGACUGACACUUGCUCUCCUUGAACAAUAACAUGUUGAAUUGAGCUGAGCUACGAGCUGUCACAUUAACAUGUGGCACAGGAAAGUGUCCACGGACAUUGAAAUGAAGACGCUCAGACAGCCGGGAAAGCCUCUGAAAUCCAAAACUGCACAUUCUCAGAUGAGGCUAACUGCAUAUUCUGCUUAUUUUGUGUAUUAUUAUUAUUUUUUAUUUUUUCAUUUUUUUAUUUUACAACUGAUGAACACUUAAAAUCAAGUCUGUAAAGGCAUUUUGCAAUCCUGUAGUAUCAUCUGUGUGGCAGCUAAAAUAAAAAGUUUUAUAAUCUUAUAAUUCACAUGAAAUGCCCUUCGUGAUAAUAACAUUGUGAAUGUCUUAAUCAGUGAUGGGCAAAUUAUGUCCUGCCCCUGUUUUACAGCAGCAUCUUAACUGACAGAAAUUUUCAUCAACAUUGGAGCUCUUAGAAGUUCUUUCCGGGUCUACAGUAUAGCCUCUAGCAAUGUGACAGUCAAGGAUAUUUAUAAAUGGAGAGAGAGAACAGUCCACACACUUUUUUUUUUUUUUAGUAGUUCUACUUUUCACAUAUAGAUGCUGGGGGAAAAUACAAAAGGAUACAGAAUUUGAGAGACACAAGAGGGAAAGCUCAGACAGGUUUUGAUCUUGGUCAGUAGGGACAUGCUGGGUUUGCCAAGGGGGGAAAGUUAACAAGCUGACAAGCUCUAAGUGUGAGCUAAGGAUGCUGACUGCUGGAUAUUUCCAGAAUCACAAUGUCUCCAGAAUGAUAGUUAAUUAUUUUUGAUAGUAUAAUUUGUUGCAGGGUCUACUAAAGCCCAGAUUGAAUUUUAUUUGCACUAUUUUCAAGACACAAAGUUACAAAUCACAUAGAUAAUAUCAAUAUAUCACUGACUUCCUUAACAACCCUGUUUCCUAAAACCUACAUCUACUAAGUAGUUUUGCCAGAUGUUUUGGAGUAAAAGUACAAUAAAUGCUGCCUCCAUGUUCACUGGACAGCACAGGAGAAUGGGGUUUGCAUUCUGAGUCAUGUUUGUGGUUCAGGCUACUUAUAUACUUACUUAUUUUGGUUCCUACUAAAUAUUGAAAUAGUAACAAAGUCUCUAACCUUAGGCAGAAUAAGUAGGAUUUUCCUAAAAAAAACAAUGUAUAGACUCUCAAAAAUAAUCCCUCUCAAUCAUCACUUACGAUUCCCUAGAAAUAUGCGUCUGUAUCUGCAAAGACCCUGCCCUCUUCCUGUAUUUUCUUAGUUUCUUAUUUUGCUGUGUUCGGAACGUUUCUGGGUGUCAACCUGUGGUCAGUGGUGUGUAAACCCCAGCCAAUAACCGUACACAGGGUGUGAAGUCGGGACUCUAAAAACGGAGCGACAUUGCUGCCUCUCCCAAGCUCCCAGGAAGUGCUCCGGGCUUGGAAGCCAAUUUGACAUAGUGGUCAAACCAUAGAAUUACAACAUCUGGGUCUAAUGUGAUGCACACCGGCCCCCGAAAGACUUUUUCCCAUAGACUUACUUUGUGAAAGAAGCGGCUGUAAAACGGUGCAUGAAUUUUUUUUUUUUUUUUUUUUUUUUUUUUGACAGUCACAACCCCCGCAAAAUGACUCGUUUCACCAUCCGAAUAAGUUAGCCGGAAGUCUCUGUUGUGCUUGCUCUGAGUCGCCAUGGGGCUGCACGAUGCGGAAGGUAAUUUUAUAAUUUAAUUUUGAACCCUAACCAAAUGCUUUGAGUUGCCUAAACAUAACCAGAAAAAUUAUUCUAUAGUUGACACUAGUGGAUAUUACAGGGAAAUGAAAUGUGGUGUCAGUGAAUCUUAGGUUCAGUAUGAACAUUUUGCACUUUUGCAUUAUAUUAGUUAAAAAAUGUUUUCCAGCUGCAUUAUGUUUUUGUCAAAACAUAUUUGUUGUUGCUAAUUAGUAGUAGCGUAUAUAAAUGUAAUUUCAUAAGACAGGGUUAUCAAAGGUAGUGCAACUAAUUUCAUAAAAGAUUAAAUGGAAUAAUUAGCAUUUUGCACAUGCCUGUAAAUGUUUCUGUGCAUUUAACCCAUUCAAACUAUGAUUAAUAGCAGUGGGGGAAUAUGUCAAUCAGAAUCAGAAAUACUUUAUUGAUCCCCGAGGGGAAACAGCAGCUUACUGUCACGUCAGCACACACAGGAAUAGAAGUACUAAGCAAAACAUAUAAUACAGGUCAGAAAAUAAAUUAAGUACCAAGUGGGUAUAAGUAUAAAAUAAGUGUUAAGUACAAAGUGGGUUUAAUGGUUGAUGAUGAUAAUAAUACGGUAUAAGGUAAUAGUCACCAUGAACAUCUGUACAGAAUUCCAUAGUAAUCCAUCUAACAGUUGAGAUAUUUAAAUCUGGACCAAAGUGGUUGACCAACAAACUGACCGACUGAUGGCUAAUAAGCAAGUGGUGCAAGUUGUGAGAGCUUAUUAUAUUAUAUAUCAAAUACUAGACUCUCCACACCAUCAAAGUUGUCAGUUUGAACUGAUUGCUUAAUUGCAUAUACAGUACUAGAGCUUUAGCAUGUGAUUGGUCCAUAAUGUAUGCAUGAUUACAUUAUUUCCUGACUUAUUCUAUUAAAAGAAUAAAAGCACCAUCUCCCUGUGUUUCAGACUGGUCUCAUUGGGGACAUGUCUCAGAAAGAGUUGUUUUGUAAUUAAUGUUAACCACUGCAUGUCUCUGAGCUGCACUGAAAUGAAGACAGCUCAUUAAUAAUGCAGAGUUACGCCUUACCAUCCCUCGCAGUAUAAUGUGCAGUUUUGUGUUAAAUGAGAACCAUCUAACUUUCUGUCCUCAUCAACCUUUCUGAUGAUAC